GGAAUUUUGCGCAAUGGGGGAAACCCUGACGCAGCAACGCCGCGUGAGUGAUGAAGGCUUUCGGGUCGUAAAACUCUGUCAAGUGGGAAGAAAAUGCUUGAUGUUAAUACCAUCUCGCACUGACGGUACCACU
rnacentral:rRNA from 1 species